GGUCAAGUGAGCCGGGCGGCCGGGCGGCGCGGGCUGGGGGAAGGGAACAGGAAAGGCCUGGCGGAGGCCGAUAAGGCCGCAGAGCACUGGGCGAGGCGUUGCCAGGAGAAGUUGCUAGGGCGGGGCUCGAGGGACCGGCUAUAAAAGCCUUUGAAUACGGACAACCUACGUCAUUCUGGAUAAGAAGUUGUUAAGACUGAUGUGAUGAGCUAAGUCUCCCCUCCUUCUUCCACCUGGAGGAUAAGGUAAUUACUGAACACAGCUACACUAUGUGUCCUCUUUAUGCUCACGUGCAGAGCCAAUAACCACAAAGGAAUUCACUGUGUAAAGAUGAAGCUCUGUAUCAUCACAGCUCACUCUAAAGAUUUAGAGACCUGCAGUAUGAGUGGCUUGUUCAAUUUAACAACCAUUUAUUUCUUACCUCCUAAGUGCAGGAAAAGAGGGAUGAGAGGGAGGGAACUUGACAGAGAGAUACCAGGAUAAAAAAGGUAAGGGCCUACUCUCCAGAUGUUCUAAAACCAUAAUAAAUAAAAAAUCAUUCAUGAAAUGUCUCAGACCAGUAAAUGCUAUAACAGACGCACAGGCACACACAAACUACAUCCCAAAGGCACUUAGGGGAGAGAGAGAGACAAAGAAUUGGGGUUUUGAAUGGGUAUGCAUUGGAUAGGCUGAUCAGGUUAAAAAAUAAAAGCGUUGAUGACAGACACACAGAUGCACUUAAUAGAAAGGCACCGAGGAGGAGCACAGGGUUCGUUCAAGGAGUGGAAAGAAGUCUGACAUUACUGCAAGAGCAUACACGGCAGGGGAAAGGGUGAAAGCAUGGAAGAUAAUGGCUGAAGAGGCAGACUGGUCAUUUAAUGCCUGGCUGAGACAUCUGGACCUCACUCGUUAGGAAGGAGAAACCACAGCAGGUUUUGAAUAGAAAGGAGACACGGUCAGAUCUGUGCUUUAGAAAAAUAACCCUGGGGC